rnacentral:rRNA from 1 species
UAACAGGAAGCAGCUUGCUGCUUCGCUGACGAGUGGCGGACGGGUGAGUAAUGUCUGGGAAACUGCCUGAUGGAGGGGGAUAACUACUGGAAACGGUAGCUAAUACCGCAUAACGUCGCAAGACCAAAGAGGGGGACCUUCGGGCCUCUUGCCAUCGGAUGUGCCCAGAUGGGAUUAGCUAGUAGGUGGGGUAACGGCUCACCUAGGCGACGAUCCCUAGCUGGUCUGAGAGGAUGACCAGCCACACUGGAACUGAGACACGGUCCAGACUCCUACGGGAGGCAGCAGUGGGGAAUAUUGCACAAUGGGCGCAAGCCUGAUGCAGCCAUGCCGCGUGUAUGAAGAAGGCCUUCGGGUUGUAAAGUACUUUCAGCGGGGAGGAAGGCGAUAAGGUUAAUAACCUUGUCGAUUGACGUUACCCGCAGAAGAAGCACCGGCUAACUCCGUGCCAGCAGCCGCGGUAAUACGGAGGGUGCAAGCGUUAAUCGGAAUUACUGGGCGUAAAGCGCACGCAGGCGGUCUGUCAAGUCGGAUGUGAAAUCCCCGGGCUCAACCUGGGAACUGCAUUCGAAACUGGCAGGCUAGAGUCUUGUAGAGGGGGGUAGAAUUCCAGGUGUAGCGGUGAAAUGCGUAGAGAUCUGGAGGAAUACCGGUGGCGAAGGCGGCCCCCUGGACAAAGACUGACGCUCAGGUGCGAAAGCGUGGGGGAGCAAACAGGAUUAGAUACCCUGGUAGUCCACGCCGUAAACGAUGUCGACUUGUAGGUUGUGCCCUUGAGGCGUGGCUUCCGGAGCUAACGC